AAACAUCUAAGUACCCCGAGGAAAAGAAAUCAACCGAGAUUCCCUCAGUAGCGGCGAGCGAACGGGGAUUAGCCCUUAAGCAUCUUGGAAGUUAGUGGAACGGUCCUGGAAAGGCCGGCGAUACAGGGUGAUAGCCCCGUACACGAAAACAACCUUGAUGUGAAAUCGAGUAGGGCGGGACACGUGACAUCCUGUCUGAAUAUGGGGGGACCAUCCUCCAAGGCUAAAUACUCCUGACUGACCGAUAGUGAACCAGUACCGUGAGGGAAAGGCGAAAAGAACCCCUGUGAGGGGAGUGAAAUAGAACCUGAAACCGUGUACGUACAAGCAGUGGGAGCCCUUCGGGGUGACUGCGUACCUUUUGUAUAAUGGGUCAGCGACUUACAUUUUGUAGCGAGGUUAACCGUAUAGGGGAGCCGUAGGGAAACCGAGUCUUAACUGGGCGUCUAGUUGCAAGGUGUAGACCCGAAACCGGGUGAUCUAGCCAUGGGCAGGUUGAAGGUUGAGUAACAUCAACUGGAGGACCGAACCCACUAACGUUGCAAAGUUAGGGGAUGACCUGUGGCUGGGGGUGAAAGGCCAAUCAAACUCGGAGAUAGCUGGUUCUCCCCGAAAGCUAUUUAGGUAGCGCCUCGGACGAAUACUACUGGGGGUAGAGCACUGUUUGGGCUAGGGGGUCAUCCCGACUUACCAACCCCAUGCAAACUCCGAAUACCAGUAAGUAAUAUCCGGGAGACACACGGCGGGUGCUAACGUCCGUCGUGAAGAGGGAAACAACCCAGACCGCCGGCUAAGGUCCCAAAGUUCUGGUUAAGUGGGAAACGAUGUGGGAAGGCUCAGACAGCUAGGAUGUUGGCUUAGAAGCAGCCAUCAUUUAAAGAAAGCGUAAUAGCUCACUAGUCGAGUCGGCCUGCGCGGAAGAUGUAACGGGGCUCAAACCAGGCACCGAAGCCGCGGAUUCACGCUAAG
rnacentral:rRNA from 1 species